GCUGCUAACGCGACCGACGUCAUCAGGACAAUGGACAGCACCAGAUUUCUGUAGCUCCUCAAGGGGUCUGUUCUGUCCAGUUAGAAAAAAAAAUACCGUCAACAACCAAGGAAAGCCUGAAAAUGGAGAGAAUCCAUUCAGAAUUUUCCAUGGGACUAGAGGUCAGCUGUUUGUACUACCAUUACAAUGCAUGUUUCUAUAGGUCAGUUGUAUAUUUAAUUGAUAAAGAACAAUGACAGACACUCUAGAGCUUAAAUACACUUAGGUUUUAGUGACUUUAGUUUGUCAUUACAGCAUUUGAGCAGAUAGUUGACAUGCUUAGAAGUUAAAUGUUAAGUAAAAUCUGUAAUACCAGAGUUGCAGUGGUGUCAAAAGUA